rnacentral:rRNA from 1 species
AUGGGCGGCGGCCGACCGUGCCACGGGAGCCCAGUGCCUGAUUGCAUGGAGCCAGGUCUGCAGGGCGAAGUGCGAGGGGGGGCUGGGGUACGGGACCUUACCACCCAGAACAUGUGCCUGCUGCUCAAGAUGCUGCAUCGUCUACACUCGUCGGAGUCGAGGUGGGCGUCGUGGGUUUGGGCGGAGCUGAAUGGCCAAUCCCUUCUUCACCCCGGUAGCUGUCGUCAUGCCGGGGCGCAUGGGCGCUCUCUGCGCGGCAUGCUGCCGCUCUACCGCGCCAUGUCGCGAGUGCAUGUGCAGGAUGGGCGGCGAACCUCCUUCUGGCUCGACUGGUGGCUGUCGUGCGGUCCUCUGAGUGUGGCCUUCCCCGCUCUAUACUCGCACACCACGAGCGCCGAGGCCACUGUGUUCUACGUCUGGAACGGUGGGCUCGACCGCAUCUUGGUCCCAAGACACACCCGGGCGGGUGCUCGGGAGCGAGAAGCCCUCCUUACCAUUCUCCCUGAUGCACCUGUGGCGCCGGGCGUAGACGAGAGGAUGCUGCCGCUUUGUGGGCGCCCCCGGUCGGGAGGGCUUGUCGCACGCCACGCUUACGCCCUCCUGCGCUAUGGCGGGCGGCUCUCGCCUCAUGCUGCGUUCGUCUGGGGGACGCGCGCGCCGUCGCGGGUGAAGUUCUUCUGCUGGCUGUUGGUCCAUCGUCGAGUCAACACUCGGGAUGCCCUUCUUCGGAAGACCAUUGUUGAUCGCGCGGGGGCCGGCUGCCCCGUCUGCUUGGCGGAGCUGGAAACCGCGGACCAUCUGAUGUUUGUCUGCCCGUUCGCGCGCGAGUUCUGGCGCGUCGUGGGGGGUGUGGUGAUCACGGCCGGGGCGUCGGUAGAGCGACUCUUCGCCCUAGACGUAAGAGUUGCCGUAGGAGAUGCCUCUCCCGACACCUUCAUCCUCCUAUGCUGCUGGCACCUAUGGAAGCACCGGAACGGGGUGGUCUUCCAGGCUAUGGUGCCAUCUCUGGAUCGGGUCCUAAGCUGCUGUCGAGAGGAUGCUGUUCUCUGGCGAGAACGGCUAUGUCCACGGGAUCGUGCGGAUGUUGAUGCGUGGGUGCGUGCGUUGACGCGGUGA